CUAGCGAGCCACCUCCCACCCGUGUUUACUGUACCUUAGUUGCUUCGGCGGGCCCGCCAUUCAUGGCCGCCGGGGGCUCUCAGCCCCGGGCCCGCGCCCGCCGGAGACACCACGAACUCUGUCUGAUCUAGUGAAGUCUGAGUUGAUUGUAUCGCAAUCAGUUAAAACUUUCAACAAUGGAUCUCUUGGUUCCGGCAUCGAUGAAGAACGCAGCGAAAUGCGAUAACUAGUGUGAAUUGCAGAAUUCCGUGAAUCAUCGAGUCUUUGAACGCACAUUGCGCCCCCUGGUAUUCCGGGGGGCAUGCCUGUCCGAGCGUCAUUGCUGCCCAUCAAGCACGGCUUGUGUGUUGGGUCGUCGUCCCCUCUCCGGGGGGGACGGGCCCCAAAGGCAGCGGCGGCACCGCGUCCGAUCCUCGAGCGUAUGGGGCUUUGUCACCCGCUCUGUAGGCCCGGCCGGCGCUUGCCGAACGCAAAUCAAUCUUUUCCAGGUUGACCUCGGAUCAGGUAGGGAUACCCGCUGAACUUAAGCAUAUCAAUAAGCGGAGGAAAAGAAACCAACCGGGAUUGCCUCAGUAACGGCGAGUGAAGCGGCAAGAGCUCAAAUUUGAAAGCUGGCUCCUUCGGGGUCCGCAUUGUAAUUUGCAGAGGAUGCUUCGGGUGCGGCCCCUGUCUAAGUGCCCUGGAACGGGCCGUCAGAGAGGGUGAGAAUCCCGUCUGGGAUGGGGUGUCCGCGCCCGUGUGAAGCUCCUUCGACGAGUCGAGUUGUUUGGGAAUGCAGCUCUAAAUGGGUGGUAAAUUUCAUCUAAAGCUAAAUACUGGCCGGAGACCGAUAGCGCACAAGUAGAGUGAUCGAAAGAUGAAAAGCACUUUGAAAAGAGAGUUAAAAAGCACGUGAAAUUGUUGAAAGGGAAGCGCUUGCGACCAGACUCGCCUCCAGGGUUCAGCCGGCAUUCGUGCCGGUGUACUUCCCUGGGGGCGGGCCAGCGUCGGUUUGGGCGGCCGGUCAAAGGCUCCCGGAAUGUAGUGCCCUCCGGGGCACCUUAUAGCCGGGAGUGCAAUGCGGCCAGCCUGGACCGAGGAACGCGCU
rnacentral:rRNA from 1 species